CCUACGGGAGGCAGCAGUGGGGAAUAUAUUCACAAUGGGCGAAAGCCUGAUGCAGCGACGCCGCGUGAGGGAAGACGGCCUUCGGGUUGUAAACCUCUUUCAGUAGGGAAGAAGCGAAAGUGACUGUACCUGCAGAAGAAGCACCGGCUAACUACGUGCCAGCAGCCGCGGUAAU
rnacentral:rRNA from 1 species